GGCCUCUCUCCUAUGGGGCAAUGGAUGGUCCCUUUUCUCCUCCACCAGUGUUGGAGGCCAAGAUCGGCCCUUGAGGAUCAUUGUUGGGGCUGCCAUGAGCUAGCAGCCUUGCUUUUCUGCCUCAGACAUCU